rnacentral:lncRNA from 1 species
ACUCACGACACUCGUGGCACACCAAUCUCACUUCCCGAACCUUAGGUAGAAACCCUAGGGUACAUACCAAAAACCCUGCAUCCAAUUUUCUUUCUUUUCUUUCUUUUUCUCUCGGAAGGUUUUGGACCUUCACCUCAUGCACAAGGCUUCCUCACGCCCCACUUUCUUUCUCAGAAUUUUUCUACGCACGCCCCAGCUCCCUAUCUCUUUUAAAAUAGUUCAAAACGUGUCUUAUCCGCGUGAGAGGAUAAAGACAAGUGGUUACACAUUUGAAUUCAAAUCAAAUUUGAAUUCAAACUAAAACCAACUCAUCCCUAUCCACUUGGGCGUGAGAAAAGAAGAUGUGAGUUUGCUUUGUGCGUGGAAAGGUUUCACGAGAAACUCUUUCUCGUGUGAGAUGUGGGGCGCUAAAGUGGAUAAUGUCAUGUAUGCGCAAGAGAUAAGUUAUCCAUUCAAAUUCAAACACGCUUUGAAUUUGAAUGGCUAACUAAUCAUCUUUAUCCAAAUAUUGGCGCACAAGAGUGGGCGUGAGAAGGGCUUUGCGUGAGAAAAAAUUCACGAGAAGUUUCUUCUCGUGAAUUCAAAUGGGCGCAGAGAUUUAAGGUGGUGCAGGGAUUCAAAUUCAAAUGGUGGUUUGAUCUUAAUUGAACCAACCUAAUCAAAAUAGGUUAAGCACAAUUAGACUAAAUUAAACCCAACUUAAUUAGGCUUAAUUAGGCUCAAUAAAAUCCUAAUCAAAUCAGAAAUUGACUAAGUCCAACCCCUGAUCAAAUCAGGGAUCAAACUAUCUCGACGAUUAGGUCAACUCUUAACCUAAUCGGGUCAAACCCAACUGAAUCCAAUUCAAUUGGACUUGAUCCAAAAAUAAUUACUCAAUCAAAUUGAGUUAAUUAGCGAUCAAAUCACUAAUAAAACCUCUCAUAAUUAUUGAGUCCAAAUCCGAUGGGCAAUCGGAUAUCAAAGUCCAUCGAUAUGAAACCUUGAUCGAAGAGUUCAAAUUUCAAAUUCAAAAUUUGAAAUUCAAAAUUUUGACCCCGGUACCCAAAAUGUGUGAAACUCAUGAUCAGAGAAUCCUAAUUCUUAAUCAUAGAGUCUCAAACACAUAAGACUCAUAAUCAGCCAUCAGAUCAGAAAGGAACCUCUAAUGUGUGUGACCCCGCAGGUUCGAACCUAAACUGGUAGCACAGGAACCAAUUCCUGUACUAAUCGAAGUGACCAUCUAGCAAUGGUACCCGACAACCGGAUAGAUCAAAUAGUCACAAUCGCAACAUUCAAAACCUACGUGAAUAUGGUUACCGUAUAAUUCAUUCCUUUUGACCCCUGUGUUUAGGAUGACUCAGGGUUAAACUGUCAACCCUGAUGAGAUCAUCCGAAUCGUGCUCAACUCAAUUAGUCCUGUGACUCCUCACUAGGACUACCCUGACCAAGGUUUUGCUAAAUUAAAACACGACUGUACACAGCUCCUAAACUAGAGUGGUCAAUCCCAUCUUGACACACACACCGAUAAGUCAAGUACUUGACUACACCCAGCAGCCUUCCGUCACUGAAUUAGAAAUUCAGAUAGUCCAGUGCC